UGGCGAGAUGUUGAAAGACGGUUUCGGCUGUCACUACAAGAUGGGCCCGCGGCGCAUUAGCUAGUUGGUAGGGUAAUGGCCUACCAAGGCGACGAUGCGUAGCCGACCUGAGAGGGUGAUCGGCCACACUGGGACUGAGACACGGCCCAGACUCCUACGGGAGGCAGCAGUAGGGAAUCUUCCACAAUGGACGAAAGUCUGAUGGAGCAACGCCGCGUGAGUGAAGAAGGUUUUCGGAUCGUAAAACUCUGUUGUAAGGGAAGAACACGUACGAGAGUAACUGCUCGUACCUUGACGGUACCUUAUUAGAAAGCCACGGCUAACUACGUG
rnacentral:rRNA from 1 species